CACUUUCCAUCUUUGCGCUGAUCCGCCAUCUCAUGGUAUCUCAACGCCAUCAUCAUGCUAUCUGACAAAUCAGUAUCACUCGACUCGAAUCCUCCUACAUCAAUGAAGUAUUUGCAGGAAAGCCUUACAUCUGUGAUAUUAUCACAUAAUGUGGUACUCCACUUUUUCAUUGAAAAAGAAAAGAUACUUGCUGCAGUUGGAUCUGAUCCAACAGUAGAAGGUUUCUUUUGGCAGGCAUGACGAUACUGUCAUUUUUUCUAGAUUGAAGAACCUUUUCAGUUCUGUUGCUCACUUUUGUUGCUUGUUGAACUCCAAUAUUUUAGGUGAAUUACGUUGUUUUUCAUCCCUUUGAUGCAACAAUAUGUAGUGGAAUUGGACAUUUCUUCAAUUUGACGCGUUUUAACUAAUGACACGUGCUAUUUUCUUUCUAAAUGAUCACAACAUUUUAUUGGUAAAGUAUAUCACUGCUUGCGAGUAGUCCUUCAAGCACAGUGAAUCUCCGCUAUUGUUAGAAGAUUGACUCCAUUGGCUGCAGGAAAGUGUUAUCAUUCUAGCCAAGUUCUUUCUUUCUCAGUUGUUCGAUAAAAUGUCAAUGCAAGAUUUGAGAGUGCUAGUUGCUGAAUGGUCAACGGUGAAUUUUACAUAAGAGGAGAAAGUUUCAAAUUACCUCAUCAUUCCAUUGGGCUUGUAUUUGAUGGGUUCAUAAAAUUACAAGGUAAGAAGCCUAAACGUCAAAUUCGUGGGUUGAGAGAUGGUUACCUUCAAGACAUUGAUACAACUUCUUCCAAUGUACGCAUAGCCAAUGCAGCUAGAUGAAGAUGGCGCAAAGGAUGCAAAACAAGCUAAAGGUUGUUGAAAAAUAAUUCAAUUCUACAUUGCAUUCUUGGCAUUAUUCUAUACAUUAGCUAUAUAUGUGGUAAAGUUCCCGACUUUUCUGUAUCAUUUUUUAUACCAAUGUCAAUGGUGGAUAAUGCUAAUGAGGAAGAUGAUGCUACUAAGUGCGAAUAGAAUAACUUUGAUGAUGAACACAGCUUUAAUGAGGAUCAACAGCAUAUCUAAUUCAUGAUAAUGAGAAUUAUAUUUUUUUU